rnacentral:antisense_RNA from 1 species
GGUGGGGUAACUGAGGCCCCAUGAAGUUAAAGAAUGUUCCUGAAGUCUCUCAGCAAUUCUCAAGUCCCAUCUUAUUUGAAGCAUGUAUUCCUGACAUGGGUCCCAUAACUGCUCUCAGCAGAUGAAUAUUAACGAAACCCAAACCUUUCGGGUGACCGUGAUCUUGUUCGUCUUUUUUUGCGAUCACCAGAUGAAGAAGAUCUAGAACGACUUCUCUUUCUGUUCCUCUCAGGAGAAGAUGAUGAACUUGAAUAAGAUCUUUUUCGUGGGGAAGAAGAGCCCCUGUGGGACCUGGAGCUGGAUCUUCAUUGAUUGAGAAACAAAUCAAACAUUUCAUUAAAAGAAGAAAUAAGGAAGAUUAUUUAGUUAUCAGAUAGCUCCAAAAAUAAACAGGAUUUAUAACAACUAUGAAAAUUUUAUAAGGAAGAAUACUUACUGCUUAUUCAACAGAAGACUUCUGGAUCAAUCAUGAAAACAUUCUACUUAAACAUUUUAAUUUUGUCUCUUUAAAAUUCUAUCAUGUGUAAUUAAAACCCUGCUUACUAUAUCAAAA